GGAAUAUUGCACAAUGGGCGAAAGCCUGAUGCAGCAACGCCGCGUGCACGAUGAAGACCUUCGGGUUGUAAAGUGCUUUUCGGGGGGAUGAGUAAGGACAGUACCCCCGGAAUAAGGAUCGGCUAACUACGUGCCAGCAGCCGCGGUAACACGUGGGAUCCGAGCGUUAUCCGGAUUUACUGGGCGUAAAGCGCGUGCAGGUGGUUCGGUAAGUUGGAUGUGAAUGCUCCCGGCUCAACUGGGAGAGGCCGUUCAAUACUGCCGGACUAGAGGGCGAUAGAGGGAGGUGGAAUUCCCGGUGUAGUGGUGAAAUGCGUAGAUAUCGGGAGGAACACCAGAGGCGAAGGCGGCCUCCUGGAUCGACCCUGACGCUAAGACGCGAAAGCUAGGGUAGCGAAC
rnacentral:rRNA from 1 species